rnacentral:rRNA from 1 species
UAGGGAAUCUUCGGCAAUGGACGGAAGUCUGACCGAGCAACGCCGCGGGAGUGAAGAAGGGUUUCGGAUCGUAAAGCUCUGUUGUUAGAGAAGAACGUUGGUAGGAGUGGAAAAUCUACCAAGUGACGGUAACUAACCAGAAAGGGACGGCUAACUACGUGCCAGCAGCCGCGGUAAUACGUAGGUCCUGAGCGUUGUCCGGAGGUAUUGGGCGUAAAGCGAGCGCAGGCGGUUCUUUAAGUCUGAAGUUAAAGACAGUGGCUUAACCAUUGUACGCUUUGGAAACUGGAGGACUUGAGUGCAGAAGGGGAGGGUGGAAUUCCAUGUGUAGCGGUGAAAUGCGUAGAUAUAUGGAGGAACACCGGUGGCGAAAGCGGCUCUCUGGUCUGUAACUGACGCUGAGGCUCGAAAGCGUGGGGAGCAAACAGG